GAAAUAAGUACAUUCCAACACAAAGAACGACAAACAGAAACAAAAAAAAAUAAAAAAAAUAAAAUGAAACAAAUUAAAAGACAUGAAGCCAAAUCAGGUAAAACACUCACGCGCAAGUAUUAAUGAACGCAGCAAGAAGAUGUCAGUUAGACACAAUUUGACAGAUGUCACUAGGAAAUAACCACAGAUUCUGCAAAGUAUGUAUUACACAAUUAUAGGUGCACUGACCUUUAAAUUAAAUAUUAAAAGUAAUAAAGUGGCAACAAUAAAUAUAGAACUGUGCACAACAAAAUACAGUUAUACCUUCAAGAAGUUAUAGAACUAUUUUAAAAGUAACGGAAUUAUAGUUAACGCAAAUUUAAAUUGAAGUACCGACGAAAGCAAAAGAGAUUGAAGUUAGAAGUGAAUUAGUGAAAGUGCAUGAUGUCUUCAGUUCCGACGCCUCGCCUUUCGCUGAGCCUUGGAGGUCUCUGGGGCGUCUUUAAGAGGACCAGGGUCGGAGCCGGAGGUCUCAAUGGCGCCAGUAGGAAAACGGGUUGUCAACUCGUUGAGCUCACUUACCGUCUCAAUCUUCCGCCGAAUAUUGUCAGGGCAAAGGAUCACUAUCCUGCCCUCAGUGGUCCAGCACUUCGUGACGCUGAAAUGUUUCCUGGCGGCAAGGAAGGCUUGAUGUCGAGUCUGAGUCAGAAACUCAGAAAUGGUGAUGCCCGAGCCCUUUAACUGCUUCUUGCCGUCCCAAACAAGCUGCCGAUGCUCUACCUUGAAAAACCUCACUAGGAUGGGUCGAGUCUUCUGCCUGGAAGGGCCUAAGCGGUGACAAACAUGCAAGGCACCCCAUGAAGCAGCAGCACCUUUCUUCGCAUGAGGGUCUCAUGCCUGUCAAAACCAUGGCCAAGCAACUCAACUUGGGAUUUUAACUUAGACAGUGCUUGCCAAACAAAGGUCUUGAAGUCCCUGAAGUCAUUGCUGAUGGAGGUUAUGCUGUCUGAUGGUUGACCUGCUCCUGCAGAAGCUUUGACCAGUUUAUCUUCAUAUUCAGCCAUACGGGAAUGGAACAGCUGCUCCAGAUCUGCCAAACUGCUUGAAAAUUUGUUGUCCAUUGUGUUGAAAAUAAAUUAUUUUAACUAGCAAGAGGGUGGUGUACUUGC